rnacentral:lncRNA from 1 species
CAGACAUGUGAAGCUUUACAAAUUUUUUAAAAAAUACAAGAAAACACAAUCAGGUAUAUCAUUGACCUUUUUCUAUCUUCAUGUAAUGCACACUAUUGGUACUUCUCUAACAUAUAUAUUUGAAAGAUAGCCCUUAGAAAAAAUUGCAGAACCUAAUAAUUUUAUGUAUAGUGUUAAAAUGAUUUUAAAGAGUACUUUGCCGUAGUAAUUCCCAAGGAGCAACUGUCGUUCGCUGAGAAGCACACAGUCACAGAAAUAAUGCCAUCCUCUGCAGCUCGAACCACACAACAGAAUAAUCCUGAAAGCAUGAUCGAUAAGUAUUAUAGGUUGUUUCUACAUGCAGCCGGCAUCUCCUAUUUAGUGCAUAUAUUGUUACUAUCUUGACAACAUUGUGCAUAAAGUAGCUUUCAAAUAUAUGGUACUAUAUUGCUAAAAGAAUAUUCAAUGCAGAAAUGAAGGGACAGUACACGUCAAAAUCCACAGGCCAACUUACAAAAGAAGCUGGAGAAGCUAUUAUCAGGAGGAAACAACAACUCCAAGAAAAAAGGAGUAAGAGAUGCAGGAAUACACAGGAAACAACCAAUAAAAAAGAAGAAGAUGCUUCACGGAAGAGAAAGGAACAAAUCAAAGAAAGAACAAAUGUGAAGCGUGCAAGAACAAGUGGGAGCGACAAUGACCUUGGAAGCAACAUCAAAGAAACAAACAGCAGCACUACGUCCGAGAGUUAUUAUAGCAAAAUAUGGAACUUUGGAAAGCCAACAUAUAGAUGUGAACAUUGCAAUGCAAUACUAUGGUGUGAAGAAAGAUUAAAUUCUCAUAGAGGAACCAAAAAACUUUCUUUCAGAAUUUGCUCCAAACAAGGUAAGAUUGACCUACCAAAGAUGGCACACCCUCCACCUUACUUCGCAGGAUUAUUAACAGGUGAAGGAAGUGAUGCAACAAACUUCAAAGAAAAUAUCGGGUCAUACAACUCAAUGUUCUCAUUCACAUCAAUGGGAGGAGCUGUUGACAAAGAAAUAAACAAAGGCAAAGGACCAUAUGUUUUUAGACUGCAUGGCCAGAACUAUCACCAUAUUGGAACUCUUCUACCUGAAGAAGGUAACAAACCUCGAUUUGCCCAGCUAUACAUCUAUCAGACAGAAAAUGAGGUGCAAAACAGGAUAGAUGCUUCAAGAUGCAAUGAUAAUAAAUCAACGGUGGACCCUGCCAUUGUCAAAGAACUACAAAAAAUGCUUGAUGAGAACAACAUCCUCGCAAAAUCUUUCAGAAUGGCAAGAGAUAGAUUCAAAGAAGAAGACUACCAUGAUUACACACUUAGAAUACUUGGGAAAAGGAACGGAACACACAACCUUCCAUCUGCAUCGGAAGUUGCAGCAUUGGUUGUAAGAGACCCAACUGG